rnacentral:rRNA from 1 species
GUCAAGUCAUCAUGGCCUUUAUGGCCAGGGCUACACACGUGCUACAAUGGUGGAUACAGAGGGAAGCCAACGCGCGAGCGGGAGCCAAUCCCAGAAAAUCCAUCGUAGUCCGGAUUGGAGUCUGCAACUCGACUCCAUGAAGUCGGAAUCGCUAGUAAUCGCGGAUCAGCAAAGCCGCGGUGAAUACGUUCUCGGGGAUU